rnacentral:rRNA from 1 species
UACGGAGGAUCCAAGCGUUAUCCGGAAUUAUUGGGCGUAAAGAGCUCGUAGGCGGUUUGUCGCGUCUGCUGUGAAAACUGGAGGCUCAACCUCCAGCCUGCAGUGGGUACGGGCAGACUAGAGUGCGGUAGGGGAGAUUGGAAUUCCUGGUGUAGCGGUGGAAUGCGCAGAUAUCAGGAGGAACACCGAUGGCGAAGGCAGAUCUCUGGGCCGUAACUGACGCUGAGGAGCGAAAGCAUGGGGAGCGAACAGG